ensembl:snoRNA
GACUCACGCAGCCCCUCCUGAUGAUCCUUCUUCCUGAGUGGCUCCAGUGAUGAGCCAAAACUGAGCCUCUAAGAAGUUGACUGAAGGGGCUGCUUCCUC